rnacentral:lncRNA from 1 species
UCACCGUCAUGAGAUUAGAAAUACCUUUCGUGCAGUUCAGCAGCAACUAUGCAAUAUGACAGUUAAGUCAGCAGAGAGAUAUUCCAGGCAAUAGUCCAGAACUCGGCUACCAUCAACACUGGAGAGAUGGCAGACUUCCUGUCCCUUCUCAUACCCUGUUUGAAUGACUUUGGUGGUGUUUCUUCAUCGGCCAAGUUUCUACAUUAAGGCUGAAUACGUGGCUGGCACAGGAGCUGCCUUCUGGACAAGGACAUUUUCAGUGGAAGAUAAUGCACAGAAGGUGUACAAUACCACUGGUUGUCAAAGAAGCGAAGCCAGGGUCCCUUCUAGUGGGUGGUAG